rnacentral:misc_RNA from 1 species
GAUGAAGAACGUAGUGAAAUGCGAUAAGUAAUGUGAAUUGCAGAAUUCAGUGAAUCAUCGAAUCUUUGAACGCACCUUGCGCUCCUUGGUAUUCCGAGGAGCAUGCCUGUUUGAGUGUCAUUAAAUUCUCAACCUUUCCAGCUUUUGCGAGUUUGGAUUGGCUUGGAUGUGGAGGUUUGCAGGCUUCUCAGAAGUCAGCUCCUCUUAAAUGCAUUAGCGGAACCUUUGUGGACCAGCUUUGGUGUGAUAAUUAUCUAUGCCAUGGUUGUGAAGCAGUUUUUAUAUGGGGUUCAGCUUCUAACAGUCCAUUGACUUGGACAAUUUCUGACAUUUUGACCUCAAAUCAGGUAGGACUACCCGCUGAACUUAAGCAUAUCAAUAAGCGGAGGA